rnacentral:rRNA from 1 species
AGAGUUUGAUCCUGGCUCAGGAUGAACGCUGGCGGCGUGCCUAACACAUGCAAGUCGAGCGAGAAGUAAAUUAACAGAGAUUUCGGUCAAAGUAAAUUUAUGGAAAGCGGCGGACGGGUGAGUAACGCGUAGGCAACCUGCCCUUUGCACAGGGAUAGCCUCGGGAAACCGGGAUUAAAACCUGAUAACGCCGAGAAAACACAUGUUUACUCGGUCAAAUAUUUAUAGGCAAAGGAUGGGCCUGCGUCUGAUUAGCUAGUUGGUGAGGUAACGGCUCACCAAGGCGACGAUCAGUAGCCGACCUGAGAGGGUGAUCGGCCACAUUGGAACUGAGACACGGUCCAAACUUCUACGGAAGGCAGCAGUAGGGAAUCUUGCACAAUGGGCGAAAGCCUGAUGCAGCAACGCCGCGUGAAGGAUGAAGGCCUUCGGGUUGUAAACUUCUGUCCUAGGGGAAGAAACAAAUGACAUUACCCUUGGAGGAAGCCCCGGCUAACUACGUGCCAGCAGCCGCGGUAAUACGUAGGGGGCGAGCGUUAUCCGGAAUUAUUGGGCGUAAAGAGUGCGUAGGUGGCACCUUAAGCGCAGGGUUUAAGGCAAUGGCUCAACCAUUGUUCGCCUUGCGAACUGGGGUGCUUGAGUGCAGGAGGGGAAAGUGGAAUUCCUAGUGUAGCGGUGAAAUGCGUAGAUAUUAGGAGGAACACCAGUGGCGAAGGCGGCCUUCUGGACUGUAACUGACACUGAGAUACGAAAGCGUGGGUAGCAAACAGGAUUAGAUACCCUGGUAGUCCACGCCGUAAACGAUGAGCACUAGGUGUCGGGGUCGCAAGACUUCGGUGCCGCAGUUAACGCAUUAAGUGCUCCGCCUGGGGAGUACGCACGCAAGUGUAAAACUCAAAGGAAUUGACGGGGACCCGCACAAGCAGCGGAGCAUGUGGUUUAAUUCGAAGCAACGCGAAGAACCUUACCAGGACUUGACAUCCUCUUGACAGAUCCUUAAUCGGAUCCUUCUUCGGACAAGAGAGACAGGUGGUGCAUGGUUGUCGUCAGCUCGUGUCGUGAGAUGUUGGGUUAAGUCCCGCAACGAGCGCAACCCUUGCC